AAUGAACGCUGGCGGCGUGCUUAACACAUGCAAGUCGAACGAGAACGCCUCAGCUUGCUGAGGCAAGUAAAGUGGCGCACGGGUGAGUAACGCGUGGGUAAUCUACCUCCGAAUUGGGGAUAACAUUGCGAAAGCGGUGCUAAUACCGAAUAAUAUCCUCAAGACUCAGGUUUUGAGGACCAAAGGUGGCCUCUACAUGUAAGCUACUGUUUGGAGAUGAGCCCGCGUACCAUUAGCUUGUUGGUGGGGUAACGGCCUACCAAGGCUGCGAUGGUUAGCUGGUCUGAGAGGAUGAUCAGCCACACUAGAACUGACACAACGGUCCAGACUCCUACGGGAGGCAGCAGUGAGGAAUUUGUCGCAAUGGGGAAA
rnacentral:rRNA from 1 species